UAGGGAAUCUUCGGCAAUGGACGAAAGUCUGACCGAGCAACGCCGCGUGAGUGAAGAAGGUUUUCGGAUCGUAAAACUCUGUUGUUAGAGAAGAACAAGGACGUUAGUAACUGAACGUCCCCUGACGGUAUCUAACCAGAAAGCCACUGCUAACUACGUGCCAGCAGCCGCGGUAAUACGUAGGUGGCAAGCGUUGUCCGGAUUUAUUGGGCGUAAAGCGAGCGCAGGCGGUUUCUUAAGUCUGAUGUGAAAGCCCCCGGCUCAACCGGGGAGGGUCAUUGGAAACUGGGAGAAUUGAGUGCAGAAGAGGAGAGUGGAAUUCCAUGUGUAGCGGUGAAAUGCGUAGAUAUAUGGAGGAACACCAGUGGCGAAGGAGGCUCUCUGGUCUGUAACUGACGCUGAGGCUCGAAAGCGUGGGGAGCAAACAGG
rnacentral:rRNA from 1 species